rnacentral:tRNA from 1 species
GCCAUCGUAGCUUAUCAAAAGCAUAACACUGAAGAUGUUAAGAUGGGCCCUAGAAAGCCCCGAGAGCA